rnacentral:tRNA from 1 species
GCGCGCGUAGCUCAGUUGGCAGAGCAACCGGCUCUUAACCGGUAGGUCGGGGGAUCGUUUCCCUCCGCGCGCACCA